UUCUCAUGAAACGUAAAACAAGUUAUCUUGGGCAACUUUUAACAAGAACAUGUGUUUCAAUAAAAUAUGUCUGUGCUUUGAUUACAUUUACGACUGUAGCAUGUAUGCAACAGUUUGGCAUGUGCGUGACACAACCGCUUGUUUGUUUGAAGUUGGCUUGUCAUUUGUGUGUGAGGUUAAUUGAUGGCACACCAGUAUUUCACUUAGUUAUACUCAAUUUUGCAGUUACCUUGUUUAAUAGCUUGUUUAGAGCUUUAAUUAGGGCUGCACGAUUUAUCGCGAUAAAAUCGCACGUGAUAUGGCAAAGGCUUUGAAAAACGCAUUCAUUUUAGACUGGAGGAUUAUCAUCUUGGCGAUAUGAUGGAGUUCAACAUUGUAAUACUACUGUAAAUGAUUAUAUUAAAUAAUAUACUUAUACUUAUUAUUUAUUAAUAAAAAAACUUACACACACAAUGCUUCACCGUUUUUACUUGAAACAAUUUCAUCACUGAUAAAUACAAAUUAUGUACACAAAUACAUACAGUCUCACACUCAGACAAAACAGUUUUGAAUUAUGUGCUGGUAAUGUACUCCAAUUUCAUUCAUGCCAUGUAUGUAAACUUGACUGUAAACGUAUAUAGCCUAUAUAUUUAAGUUCAUACAACUACAUAAUCAUGACGUCAUAUGCAUCCCCACCAGUCUAUGAUCCCCACACAGUGAUCGGCACGGAAUAAACUCAUUACACAUAAUGAAUGAAUAAAGAAUAACAUUACAAGAAACACAUACAGUAACACUGCAUUUGGAAAAAAAAUGAUUUUCCUAUGUGUUAAACCUGUGCUAAUUAUUGCCACACAUGUGAUGCUUAUGUAAUAGUAUGCGCCGCUGAAUACUUUUGGUUUUGAUAUUUUAAGCACUACAGAUAUACAUUUAUAUUAAUGUUUGUGCAUAAAUUAUGAAACUAAAAUAUUUUAUACACUAAAUUUCAGACUGUACUAUUCUUAAUCAAAAACGGAUAUUGAUAAAGAUUGCAACAUUUACAUACGUUUGUUAUUAAAGGCGCUCUAAGCGAUGUGACACGUUUUUAGGCCAAAAAAUUUUUUUGUCACAUACAGCAAACAUCUCCUCACUAUGCGCUAGCUGCCUGUCCCCCUGAACACACUGUAAAAAAACGCGGUCUCUGUAGUCGCCACAAGCUCCAAAAACGGCAACAAAAACAAACUGGUGCAGCCUGUACCACUAAACACAAUAAACAGUGCCCAGCCAAUAACCGACAAGCAGCGUCAAUACGCAAGCUACUUACAUUUUAAAUGCGCGUUCAUGACUGUUUCAGGAAGCACGGAGGGGAGGGGGAGGAGGAGGAUCUGUUUUGUUUGACAACACUUCGAAUGUCAACAGAAAGUUACUCCACCCAGGAUCGCUUAGAGUGCCUUUAAUUUUCAUUUGAGUCAUUGCUACUUGAAAAAGAAUCAUCGAUGUUUAUAUGAUUUGACGCUUUUGAUGUUGAAAUCUGAUUUACUAUAUUCUAAUUAUCAUUACUCAGGUAUGACUCAUUGUGUAAUAGGUUAUUAUUUGUUAUAGAUAAUGUUGAACUGAUGGCUUUUGAUUACAUGAUUCAUGUACGUAUACAUUACUCACUUCUCAUAUUGAUAAAACUGACUAUUCAUGUGUUUCUCAUUGGUUUUAUUUUGCAGUAGCAGACGCACCGAUCGUUACAGACGAAGAAUUGAUUCAUCUUGUAACACAACCGGAGUUUAAUCGACCUCACCCAGAAUGUGAAUAAUUUGGACAACCAUGUUCAUAGCACCAGCAAGGUUGAUAGGCUAAGAACUGAUACGCCCAUUUCUACGACAUUGCGAGCUGAGGACAUAUCCAGUAGCGCCGUGAUCGACCUCACUUUCGAGUGUAAUGAACCGCCUGUGGGUGUGAUAGAUCUCACACUAGAUUGUAAUCUACCUCCUAGGAAAAAGAGAAAAAUACUAGAAUACAGACCAGCGCAGUCUCUUCAAAGUCUCCAGAGUUUUGAUGACUACCAUGAUAGUAGUGUGGAUGAUUUGUCAGAGUGGACCGAUAAAUGAUAAAUGCUUGGGAUGGUGCGUCUUGGACAAGCAGUCGAUACGAUGAAGCAACAGUGCGCGGGAGGCAGACGCCAUAUCCUUUUCACAAUGUGUCCGUGGCUGAAGAAGUCAAAGAGCAUCCAGCGGGGCAUAUCCAUAAUGAAGUGACAUCUGAAGAUUGGAGAUUUAUUCAUACACUCAUUAACAGAUUGAUUGCUCAGAAUGACAAACUACAUACCAGAGUAGAUGUUUAUGUUAACGAUGUCCACAGUCGAAUAGAUGCAGUUGUUAAUGAGAUCCAUAACCUAUCACAUCCAAUUGUUCACGAUGUCCGUGACAGAAUGAUUAGACUUUUUAACGAUGUCUGUGACAGAUUGGAUGCUCAGGGAAAUAGGAAUCAGGAAUUGAGUGGUAUUGUAUAUAACCAGCAUCAUGCGCUAGAGACAGGUUUUCACAUUUUUCAAUCAAGUGUGAAUGAGAAUUUUGUACACAUCAAUAACAUAUUAAAUGAAGAGCUAAGAGAAAGACGGUUGAUAGUAAACCUUCUCUGUGCUAGGAACAAUGUUAGAUGAUGCAUUGUGAAUAUCAAUUCUGUUGUUGUAGUUACAUGUCAAUAUACAUGGUGAAUGUGUUAUCUUUUUAUUAUUUUGACAUGUCUGAAUGAAUUAUUUUUUUCUUCAUAAUUUUUGUGAGAUAUUUCAUUAAUUAAUUGUCAGUAUCAUUUAUUGCCUAUAAUAAAAUUAAUGUUGUGAUUUCUUUGUCAAUAUAGCAUUGGUCUAAAAAUAAAAAUUAUUUUUCCACAGAUGAUGCACCCAGUUGCAAUCCAGACCAAACUCUCUCAGAAUGGUUUCAGAG